GACAGUUUGGCCGAGUCGUUAGAUUUAGGCUUUGGUCCAAAAGGGUGAAGGGUGUGGGUUCAAAUCUCACAGCUGUCA
rnacentral:tRNA from 1 species